GACGAACGCUGGCGGCGUGCCUAAUACAUGCAAGUAGAACGCUGAAGGAGGAGCUUGCUUCUCCGGAUGAGUUGCGAACGGGUGAGUAACGCGUAGGUAACCUGCCUGGUAGCGGGGGAUAACUAUUGGAAACGAUAGCUAAUACCGCAUAACAGUAGAUAUUGCAUGAUAUCUGCUUGAAAGGUGCAAUUGCAUCACUACCAGAUGGACCUGCGUUGUAUUAGCUAGUUGGUGAGGUAACGGCUCACCAAGGCGACGAUACAUAGCCGACCUGAGAGGGUGAUCGGCCACACUGGGACUGAGACACGGCCCAGACUCCUACGGGAGGCAGCAGUAGGGAAUCUUCGGCAAUGGACGGAAGUCUGACCGAGCAACGCCGCGUGAGUGAAGAAGGUUUUCGGAUCGGAAAGCUCGGUUGUAAGAGAAGAAAGAGUGUGAGAGUGGAAAGUUCACACUGUGACGGUAUCUUACCAGAAAGGGACGGCUAACUACGUG
rnacentral:rRNA from 1 species